CACUCUCUGUGAAGGACUGCAGAAGCACAAAUGUACAGAAUAAAAACAAGUUUGGUUACAGUUCAGAGUGUAAAUAUUAGCAAACGUAAAUGUUUGAGAUACCACAGUACCUUUAACAAACAUAAAACCUGCCUGCUAGUAUGGAGAUGCGGAUAACAAAAAGGCAACCCUAGGCGUUUUUAUCAGAGUAGGCGUUGGCCAUAAAACCCAAAGGAAACCUGGAAUCUCUGAGGACUAGGGCCAACCUCUCAUGGAAAUGCUUCUCCUGAAUAAAGCCUAUAGAGGUUCUGUUGGAACAUCCUUCAGCAAGCCUAACUACUUCUCAGAAAUAUUUAGACCAUUGGCAGUCAGUUGGGAAGCAAUGCAAGUACGGGGUGAAAGCCAUUCCAGCAGGUACACAAAGGGAAUAUGACAUGGAAAAGGAAGGAAGUAAAAGGGGAAAGAAAUGUAGUAAGACAAAAAAAGAGGAGGGAGGAAGAAGAGAGAGAGAAAAAUAAAGAGAUUGCAUAUAAACUGAGUACAUCAUGAUGGUAAUGCUUAGGUUGUUGACAAAUGCCAGAGAAAAAGAACCCUGUAAAGCUCUCUAGUGCCUACCGGCAAGUCUCAAACAGCCCCGACUCCUGUGGGGGGACACGUGGCUAGCAGAAGCACACUGCUUAAACUACUAAUGAAAAUGGUACCGUGAAAUAGGGAAAAUAAACAAUAACAGUGAUUUAAAAGAAAAAAAUCUGGGGGAAAAAAAACCAAUGCAAUAACACAAUAUAUAGCUUCACCCUUCAAAGAUGUUUCUAGCCUGAGCCCAGGCUAAUGGAGGUAAGAGUAGCUAACUAGAAAACUGAAGGGGAG